rnacentral:rRNA from 1 species
AUUGAACGCUGGCGGCAGGCCUAACACAUGCAAGUCGAACGGUAACAGGAAGAAGCUUGCUUCUUUGCUGACGAGUGGCGGACGGGUGAGUAAUGUCUGGCAAACUGCCUGAUGGAGGGGGAUAACUACUGGAAACGGUAGCUAAUACCGCAUAACGUCGCCAAACCAAAGAGGGGGACCUUCGGGCCUCUUGCCAUCGGAUGUGCCCAGGUGGGAUUAGCUAGUAGGUGGGGUAACGGCUCACCUAGGCGGCGAUCCCUAUCUGGUCUGAGAGGAUGACCAGCCACACGGGAACUGAGACGCGGUCCAGACUCCUACGGGAGGCAGCAGUGGGGAAUAUUGCACAAUGGGCGCAAGCCUGAUGCAGCCAGGCCGCGUGUAUGAAGAAGGCCUUCGGGUUGUAAAGUACUUUCAGCGGGGAGGAAGGGAGUAAAGUUAAUACCUAGGCUCAUUGACGUUACCCGCAGAAGAAGCACCGGCUAACUCCGUG